GAACGCACAUUGCGCCCUUCGGUAUUCCGUUGGGCAUGCCUGUUCGAGCGUCAUUUAAACCUUCAAGCUCUGCUUGGUGUUGGGUGUUUGUUCCGCCUGCGCGCGCGGACUCGCCUCAAAUUCAUUGGCAGCCGGUAUGUUGGCUUCGUGCACAGCACAUUGUGUCGCGACUCCAGCCUGCCUCCUUCCAUCAAGCCCCCCUAUUACUUUGGCCUCGGAUCAGGUAGGGAUACCCGCUGAACUUAAG
rnacentral:misc_RNA from 1 species